rnacentral:piRNA from 1 species
UGUCAAAUGGUCAAGGUGUACCCCCAGG